UGACUGAAAAUUACUAUUUGAAAGUAUUUUUCAGAGCUGUCACACUUAAAUUAUGUUUGUAACUUGGGUUAUUCCUCUCUUCUUGAUUUGUGAGUACUGGUCUAACUAAUGCUCUCUUUGUGGUUCAAGUAUAUUUGGAGUUCUUUCCAACCUUAUUGGUUCUAUGAUUCUUAAAAAAAACUAGAAGUGACAUUUUCAAAAAUGCUCUCACUUUCAAAAAAGAAUAGAUAUGCUUGGCUGAUAACAUUUUUUAAAGCCUUAAUUUUAUUGUCUAAUUUGCUGCUCUGUUCCUUGAACUUCACAUGCAGGCUAAGGUUUGCAAAAGACAAGCAUUUCAUUUAAAAUACAGAGUGAUUCUUACACUGUCAUGCAAUUUAUGGUGUACAGACCUUUUAGAUAGCCUUUUCAAUAUAUCAGUGAAGUUGCAAAAACCUUCACAUGCUUUCCCUUGAACAUCUUUGCUGCUAAGUACUGAUGGUAGCUGCUUUUCAUUAAAGUGGAACUCUGUCAGAAGGCAAAAAGGAUCUUUGUACCUCUGGGGAUGUUAUAAUCUUCAUUCACAUGCAGUUUGUGAGUUUAUCUGAUCACUGUGCUUCUUGGAAGAGUUGCAUCCACAUAAAUGCAUUUACUGCUUGCGUGUUUGUGUUUGUUUGUUUUUUCUUCAGUGUGAUUUCUUUAGCCUGUGCUAUACUCUGGAUAACAGGCUCACAGAAUGCAAACUCUUACUCUUUCCUCUGGAUCUUAGUUUCCUCAGAUCUCACUCAUUUCACAUAUGUGAGUCUCUAGCUUACCACUUUAUGAGCCCACAUCAUUAUGAAUCAACUAUAUGAAAAAUAUGUAGAAAAAACACCAAAAGAACCAAAGCUAUAAAAGAUUCUAUGAUUCUGUGAAACAUCACCCUUUCAGGUCACGUUGUUUUUGAUGAGCUUUUCAUGCUUAUUCACAACAGUGCCUAGAGAUUAGAAAAGAACAGGGUCUCAUUAACGUCAGUUGUUUUCCACAUAUGUAUGUAUGCUGAAGUGAUUGCAAUGCUGAAAAAUAGCUGAAGAGGAAACAAAAUGGACUACAAAAUAUUCAGAAAGCAAGUACUCUUCGUGGAGCACGGAAAAGGAGCAUGCAAAGAGAGAAGCUAUAACGCCCUCUCUCUUCCAUCUUAAGUAACUACUGUUGUACUGUAAUGUGAUUUUCUGGCUGCAUGCAAGUGCACACAAGACAUGGCAAGCCGCCUCCUUAUUUAAACUACUGUUACAUCUACUCUCCAUGCAAAUAGGUGGAGGUAAUUAUUGUUUGCUUUUUAUUAGGAUAUUUCAAUGAAGGUCUAGGUUCUUAGAAUUCAAAAUCCAGGGAAACUAAAGUUUUUUUUAACCUUUCAAAACACAUGUGCAACUCCACAGUUAAUUAAAACUAAUUAAAUGUCUGGUGUAACUGCUUGUCAUAAAACCAUAAUAAAUUAUUUUUAUAUAAGCAUUGUCAUUUGCUAUUGUAGGUUUUAAUGAUUUAAAUAAUUAAUUGAGCUCCUGCUCUGGGAAUGAAGGGGAUCAGCUGAAAGUUAUCAUGCUGAAGGAGAAUGAUUUCUUUGCUGGGCCUACAGUGCCAUCUACAGCACCAAGACUGUAGCUGAAAAUAAAGUCUGAACUAUGAAGUAACUAUUUUUAUUUAUUUAUUUAUUUUUACUUUAAAGCCUUUAAAAAUCAAGAUGGCUUUUAUGUUCCUUUAAAGUGUCACUAAGAAAUGAAUAAGUAAUACGUUGUAUGCCUGAACCUCUGAUUGAUCACCUGAGCAAUGAGGCAGCUGCUGAAGCACAGGUGAAGGCAAUUCUCCUGUGCUGCCGGAAGGGGUGGAGCCUGGUUCCACCUCUCCUUGACCCAUUUAAGAGCUGACUGCCAGGGGGAAAAGUUCUCUUUUGGAGAUCUCUUCUCUGGAGUUUUGCAGCAAGCCCAGGAUGCAGGAUUUUCAAAGGAAAGAGCACUUAGCAGCCAAAAAGCCUCUCAAUCCCUAUUGGCUUUUGUGCCAAAAGUCUGACUCAGGACUGUCACUGACAUGUUAAAACAUCAUCUCAAGUGCUGGGUGUUUUGAGCACAAGCAAUUUAUUCACAAAAAAAGCCAGUCAUGGUUAUCAAGAACAUACAUCCAUAUUGUAAAUUAGUCUAUUGAAGAGCAGAAUCAAGAUUCUUAGAUUCUGGAAGGAUAAAGCCAUCUUCCUCGAUGAAAAUAGUAUCAUUGGAAGAAUUAUCUGCUGCUGCUUCUGAAGAAAGCUUUGAAAUCACAGGACUGGAUUUUGAACUAAUGCACAGUAGUGUAACAAACUAAAUUUUCAAUUCCUUAUUGAUAGUUCUCAAUCCUAAAUAUUACAAAUUAUACAGUAAAAGUGGAUUUGCAGUAGGAGAAUGUAAUAUUUACUGUUUUCCCUUUCCUACACUUUCAGUUUUGCUGUUAUGUAUGUGUGAGUGUACAUAAGUACACAUCUGCAUUAUAUUUGGUAAUAUUUAAGGACCCUGAAGCUGAAGGCUGAAAGUUGAAGAUAAAAUAUUCAAAUCUAAGUAGCUCACAGUGGUGCUGCAGCUGAGUGACAGUGCUGAUGGAAAAGGGGGGGUGGCAGGUGGAAGGUGAGAACUGAGAAGGAGCUGGCAGUCUAUUACUGAAAAUAACAAUAGGAAAGUAUUUACUGAGUGAACUGCGACUUUUGAAGGCUUUUGGGACAUAUGUCCAGAGGCUGAGCAGCCUGCCCUGAGUUUUGUCUGCAGGAGGAGCAGCUGUUGCUGGUAGUUCAGGUGGCUCCUGCCCAAACUGGGUCUGCUACAGUGUCCCAGUCUGAACUGGGCUUCAUGAAAAUCUUCCUUAAGAUUUUUGAGGGAUGUAUUAUGAAGGGCCUUAUGUAACACAAUGUGUCCUGAAGCACAAGAAAUCCCUCUCAGUCUUAUGGGACCAUACUGAUAACAGUCUAAACUCAAGAGGAUUAAAUUUAAGUCUUAUCUGAUUAGAGUUUGUUUUUUUUUGUGUGUGUGUGUGUGUCUACUUGAAUUUAAUUUUAGUUUAUUCCACAGGAAAGCAGUGAAUUUGAGGUGUGCUAGCAAAGCAGCGGACCUUUCUGUUUCUAUUUUCAGAAGACACAAUUUAAGGACUGGCUAUGUGGCCUUGGAUAGUUUAAGCCACUUAUUCCCAAACUGUUGUGCAUAAGACCUAAAUAGCCUUUUUGCUGUGCGGCUUUCCCAAACAGCCUGCAGUGUCACAGUCUCUUCCCUAUUGUAUUACCAGAGGCACGGGAUGCUCCCAAGUACAAGUGAGUCUGAGGCAGGCAUUGGUGCUGCAGUAAAGAACAUCAGGAGCAUCUCUCUAGAACAGCUAAUUUGGAUCUAGGAUCUCAAACAAAAACUUCAUGUUAGAAUUUCAACAUGAUGACACUUAAAAUAUUAAAAAGCAUUACUUUCACAAUAUGUUUGUGGGAAGUGGUGCUGACAGUAUGAUUCAUCAGAUGUAAUUUAUUUUAGCCCAAUUUUGAAUAGGAGUACUUGACUUCUGAGAUAAAAUCAACAGUGGGCAGCAAAUAUCAGUUCUCUGAGUUGCUUGUUGCCCAGGAUAUGUGCAUGUACUAUCACUAUCUCUCCUGUCAACCUGGUAGGAUGGAAAUAAUAUUAUGAAAUAAGGUCUUGGAGGUCAGUACUUCAUAGAAACUCGUCCCUGCCUAGUAAAUGAUAUGAGAAUGUGCUUUAUAUUAAUUACCUUUACUCAGAUAUCCUAAGUACAUAUACUUACACAGCUUUCUGGGCAUCACACUAAACAGAAUGAGAGAAGAUAACAAAUGCUGCAGCAGGGAAUUUUAAUCUUGUGUGUAGGAAGAGCUAGAAAAAUAAAUGAAAGAAGUCAUUAAGAAAAGUAGAUUGUGAGAUGUGGGAGGUAGGAUGCAGGAGGAGAUUGUAACAAACAUUCAACAGCCGAGAUUAAAAAAAAGGGAAGUUAAAUCACUGCAGAGAAGUUAAAAGAAAAAUAUAAUGAAAUAGGUCUCUUUGGUAUUCUUAAUGUUGUUAGCUAUGAGAAAGUUAUUACACUUGAAACUGUGGUUGUUCCAAAGGAUGUUCAAUCACUGGCAAUAGCCCCAGUGCAGAGGAUAAGAUGGACUACGGUCCAGUCAGCUUUCUGACGUAUUCACGACCCUGUACUCCUCUAUCCCACAGGUUCAUUUGCCAGGACUGUGCAUUUGUUUUCUCUGUGAUGUCAAAGAGCAAGAAUUUGGGAACUGUCAGGAGAAGGAAUAAACAGAAGUGUUUAUAAUAAGGAAACAUAAUAAGGAAAAAUACUGUCCCCAAAGCAGUGAUACAACUUUUGUGGCAUGACUCAGGUUAUCUUCAAAAUUGUGAUAUAUUUUGCCAUUUACCAAAUCAUGCAGGGGCAACAUAAACAUGGGGCUGGAGGAUUCUUCUUUCUCCUUUACUCCUGCCCCAUGACCCCUGCUUAUUUUAACUACAUAUACAGCACAGAGCUACUCUGUGUACAUAUCUGGUGGCUUCUAUAGAAUAUAGCCAAAGCCACAAAAAGGGUUAUAAAACCUGAAGAAAUCAUUUCCCAGCUCCUACACUGGUAUGUCAAUGCAUCCAACUGUGCAGAAAACAACUUCCUGUUGUGUUUUUGCUACUGGGUUUUUGUCAAAAUGCUUCCAUUUUUAUUGUACCCCCUUGUCUGCCUGAUUUGUUUGCUCAUUUGUUAUUUUGUUAACUAGAAGGAUUUAACAGCAUUCAGUGAGUAUAUAGGACAGAGUUGAAGUAAUUAUUUUUCAAAUGGAUUUUCAUGCUUGAGUGAUCUCAUCUUGCCAAUAAGUUCCUUUGGCACUGAACUUUAUUACUUAAAACACAUUAGAAGAAGAGCUUGUACAAUUCAAUCACUCCCUUCAAAACUGUUACUACAAUAACUGCUUCCAGCACGCACUCCGUGGAGUGAAAUUGUUAGUACACCUCUGAAAGAAAUACAACAUAUCAGCCAAACCUGUUGUUCUUUCUAAUGGGAAGGGGAAGACAAUACUUAAGACUUUAAAAGGGGUCUUAAGCAUGCUGUAACCAUCUGAAGGAUCGGGCACGUGCAUGUUCCUGGGCAUACAGGGCCUGAGAUA